rnacentral:lncRNA from 1 species
UCAGAGGUUCUUGCAACUUAUUUUUCAAUGCCCCUUGGCAAUCAUUAUCCACCUGACCGUUUGCUUUCUUUUUGUUUUUGGUUCAGGCAUUUCUUGUUUCCUUUUUUCCUUCUUCUUUUUCUUUCUUUCUUUCUCUUUUUUUUUUUUUUUGCAGGAUCGACCUCGAUUCCUCUUUCGUUCACAAUAAGCCUCGGCAACUUACCGGACAGCACUCCACAAGUGC